rnacentral:rRNA from 1 species
CCUACGGGAGGCAGCAGUGGGGGAUAUUGCACAAUGGGGGGAACCCUGAUGCAGCGACGCCGCGUGGGUGAAGAAGCGCCUCGGCGCGUAAGGCCCUGUCAGAAGGGAAGAAAAGGACGGAACCUGAAGAAGAAGCCCCGGCUAACUACGUGCCAGCAGCAGGGGUAAUACGAAGGGGGCAGGGGUUAGCCGGAUGUACCGGGUGGAAAGGGGGGGAAGGCGGCGAUGCAAGCCAGGAGGGAAAGCCCGGGGCCCAACCCCGGGACUGCUAUUGGAAAUGCGUGGCUGGAGUGCAGGAGGGGCAGGCGGAAUUCCUGGUGUAGCGGUGAAAUGCGUAGAUAUCAGGAGGAACACCGGUGGCGAAGGCGGCCUGCUGGACUGCAACUGACGUUGAGGCCCGAAAGCGUGGGGAGCAAACAGGAUUAGAUACCCGGGUAGUC